rnacentral:rRNA from 1 species
CUACGUGCCAGCAGCCGCGGUAAUACGGAGGAUGCGAGCGUUAUCCGGAUUUAUUGGGUUUAAAGGGUGCGUAGGCGGCCUGUUAAGUCAGCGGUGAAAUCUAGGAGCUUAACUCCUAAAUUGCCAUUGAUACUGGCGGACUUGAGUGUAGAUGAGGUAGGCGGAAUGCGUGGUGUAGCGGUGGAAUGCAUAGAUAUCACGCAGAACUCCGAUUGCGAAGGCAGCUUACUAAGGUACAACUGACGCUGAAGCACGAAAGCGUGGGUAUCAAACAGGAUUAGAUACCCUGGUAGUCCACGCAGUAAACGAUGAUAACUGGGCGUAUGCGAUAUACAGUAUGCUCCUAAGCGAAAGCGUUAAGUUAUCCACCUGGGGAGUACGCCGGCAACGGUGAAACUCAAAGGAAUUGACGGGGGCCCGCACAAGCGGAGGAACAUGUGGUUUAAUUCGAUGAUACGCGAGGAACCUUACCCGGGAUKAA